ACAAUCGCUGGAAUCCAGAGGACAGAGGCUGCAGUGAGCCGAGAUUGCACCACUGCACUCCAGCCUGGGCGACAGAGUGAGACUCCAUCUCAAAAUAAAUAAAUACAUAAAUAAACAAAGUUAGUGGAGAUUUGGGAAAAGUCUGUAUUCUGAACAACUGGCAAUCUGCAGAUCAGUGUUAAUGCUGAGAGAAAACAGCUGCUGUCUCUGAAGUGCCCGAGCGUUUUAUAAACAGUGGUUUUUUGGUGAGUGCUGCAGUGUCUCUCCUCGCUACGGGGCUUAGAUUUAACAAAUGGACAAAAGGAAACCUUGCAGUGUGCGGUGCUGGAAUGGAAAUGACUUUGCUGGCCACAGAUGCCCAAGGCCAUUAAUAUUUCCAACUUAAUUUUGAAAAACAGAUGUUUCUGUAAAAUUUUCAGGAAAACUUAAUCUCAAUUUUUAAAAACGCUACGAAAAUGUUCAAGGUUGAAUUAUUUUGUUUCCUCAAGGUCGGCUGGACACUCACUCAGAUUAAACUCCCCCCUAGCAGAAAUAUCCACUAUUAAGGAAAUGGAAAACACGGCUCUCACUUUCCAAGAAUUUACCACGUGUGGAGAAAAAAAAAAAGACGUGUAAAAAUAGAUACUUAGAAUGGGCAAAUGACCCAAAUCUUAAGUACACAAAGCUAAAAAUCGGAGAAUCUUAGUAACAACGACAUCUGUGAAAAGCAUUCUUCAUGUGGACUAGGAUUUCAGGAUCAAAAGGGCAACAGGAGGGAAAGGGGUUAACAAGACCGAACAGUGCUAGUGAAGCGGUCUCCGAGAAACAAUGUCUUCAGAGCCAGGUGAGUUUGACAGUGAUUCACGGGGAGUCAAGUGUGCAUUCCCAAGGAAGGGUCUGGUCCAGCUGCUGGCCAUGGUGGGGAAGCCCUGCAAGCUGGAGUUGGGAGACUGGGGUUGUGUAAUUUUGGGCAGUUAACACCUCUGAGCCCUCCCCUCACACAUUUUAAUAGGGAUGACGGCGUCAUCCAGCUAAAUCGCAAGGCAGCAAAUGAGAUGUGUGAGACUGCUUUGAAACCUAUGAAAGGUUUUACCUGUGAAAAUUCAAAUUAAAGCAAAUCAAAGAAGACUAUGGCAAAAGUGGGCCUGGGGCUUUACUCAAGGAAAAAGCAGGGGGCAGAAAUGAGCGGACUGAAAAAAUGGUGCACCAGGAGGAUGGCUCACACCUGUAAUCCCUACCUUAGAAGGCGAAGGAGGGAGGACCACUUGGGGCCAGGAGUUUGAGACCAGCCCGGGCAACAAAGCGAGACUGUCUCUAAAAGAGAAAAUUUAAAAUUUAAAAACAAAAAUGUAAAAACGAAAUGGUGCCUCAAGAGGGGGGACACAGGACAUACACAAAGUAAACUGAUAGAAGCCCUGGGAUACCACCAGGUGGAAAAAUAACAAUUUGACUCAACUGAAACACUUUGCAAAAUACCAUCUCUAAGCCAGAGGUCUGAAGAUUUUUAAAGAAAAGCUGAAGCUCUUAGCCCAGUGUAACAGACACUGAUCCCUGUCUAUGCAGCCGUGCACGAGAUGAGAUCUUCAGAGCUGGAGCCCUCGGCAGGAGGUGGAGGUCUGUUUGUGACUGCUGGCCUGCCUUCCAGAACCAUGAACUCAGGCCUCCAAUCGGAACAAAACAUUCUCAGAAGUACCAACCGCCCCAGACAGCUGGUGAAGACAACUCUGUUGGCAAUGCAGUACUUCUUCCUCCCUCUGCAAUGGGAUGCCUUCACCUCCAGACAUCCACAGGAGACAGCUGGGAAUAACCUCAAAGCACUUAAGAUGAUGAAUGAUGUUUUAGGAACAAAGCACCAGUCUUCCAUCAGCCCUUAUCAAAAGGGACUCCAUAUUCAAGGGACUAAUAUUUGUCUUUUCAAGGAACUUCCAUUUUAUUUUUGACUGUUGUGGGUCAGUAACAAGUCUUCCUAGAGCAAUUUCGGAUUUUUCUCUUCACCUGAAGGAUCUCCAAAAGGAUGCCUUUCAACUCCCUAUUCCAAAGCAAAGACAGACAGACUGCUUUGACAAGAAAAAAAAUAGGCUAAAACCAAUUUAGAUUCUACAAUGGUAAACCAAAGAGUCUUUAGCCUUGAUAUAAAUGUCUUCUAAAAGAACAUACUUCACCAAAUAAAACAAAGACUUGAUGUCAUAGCUUGAAUUUUGGAAAUAUGUCUUUAUCCAUGUGACUACUUGGAAAGGCAGGAAGUAUAGCUGGCCUGCCCAGUUGAAAAACUAACACCCAUUUUGCCCAGGCAUGGAAUGAGAGACAGUAGUUAAGAACAUUGUUAUUAAACACCCCAUCAAUUUUUAAUAUGGGUGCCAUUGCUAAAUUUCAAAUCUAGUAGUUCUUUUUCUGGAUAUAAACUAAUGCUAUUAUGAAAUAAUUUUUUAGCUGGACGCAGAAAGUAGGACCUAUUUUUUUCAGGCUCGAAACCCUACUGAGAUCACCACUACAGAAAUAUGUGGCGCCAGAAGUACAGACAGGAAAAGAAACGUGUAAUUUUUUUUCUAAGCAAUCAGCUAUGAAUAAAAUGCAAGAAUACUUUACUCACCCCACAUGGAAAAUGUUUCCUAAAAACUUCCUUUGUUGAUCUUCUCAGAAUUAGACAUUUGAAGGUUUGCUCUACUUUGAAUAUGUGGCAUCAAAAUGUCAUACAAUACAAAUCAUUUUGGAAAAAUACCGUUGAUAAGAAAAUGUUAACAGUUACAAAAGGAGAGUAAAAGUGUUGAAUAUGACAUAAACUGAAACCGAAGAAAUAUUUGGAUAACAAGCAAAGUUAUUACCGGAAAGAACUGAUAUAUUUGCAAAAUACCACCAUCUCUAACACUUGAGGUAUAUGUAUUGGUGGAGAAAGGGACCACGGUAUAUUAAUGUUUCAUAUACCUAUAAGAAUCUGAGAACUUAAAAUACUACCUGCUAAACUGAUACAAAUAAAUUAAGAAGUAAAGUGGCAAGGAUAAUAGGCUUAACUACCAAACAUACAAAAUACAGGGUGACAGUGAAUUCAAGAACUGCAGUCAGAAGCUAUUCUAUGCCUGCUUUUUAAAAAAACGUAAAGCUUCUUAGACUAGAUCUUUAUCAAAUCUCUAUCUCAUCAGUCCACUGGGAUCAUAUGGUUGUUAUGUAGCAAAAGAUCCCAUAGGAAUGAGAAUGAGAACAUCUCUCCAGCAGUUAUCCUAAGCCCAGGAAUGUCACAGGCAUUUUACAUAUAUGAUCUCAAAAAGUCUGCAGAGCAAUUCCACUGGUGGAUAUGAAUUUUUGUCUCCAUUUUAUAGAAGAAAAAACUGAGUUUAGAAAAGUUACAUAACUCACCUGAGGUCACAAGGUCAUAUUUAAUUCCAUGACUAUCAGAUGACAAAGCCUGGAGCUUUUCACAUCUGAUAAGGGCUCCAUAGGUUCCUAAGCAAAUCUCCAGGCCCCUUGGGGCAGCUCAAGGUCGCGGAAUGUACCCCCACCAGAAUCCAAGAAACUUGGGUCUGCCUUGGCUACGAGGCUGGGACUGGUAACCUUGGUUUGUCAAACCACCACCCCUCUGGCCUCAGGUCCCUCUGCCCAACGUGAAGAGGCUGGACUGAAUGAGCCCUGGUUCCUCCCGGCUAACAUUUGGAUUCCAUAGGAAAAAACUAGCUUUACCCAGUCUUCAGUGAUUUUUUUCUUUUCCUAAGCACAUACCACUACAUGUCUUUUUGGCCACAAAAGGAUUCAAGCACCAUGAGGACUACAGACAAAAGGCUUUGAUUUGGCCAGGCACAGUGGCUCAUGCUUGUAAUCCCAACGCUUUGGGAGGCCAAGGCAGGAAAGGAGAUGCAAGAAUCUAGGUGAUCCAUGUGCUUUAUCACUCACAGGAUUCCAUUAAACAAAUACCAAGCACAGCCCUAUCUCACUUUGCACAAAAGAUGAGAUGUGUUCCUGAAAGGGUCUCACUCUGUCACCUGUGCUGGAGUACAGUGGCACCAUCAUGGCUCACUGCAGCCUCAACCUCCUGGGCUCAAGAGAUCCUCCUGCCUCAGCCUCCCAAGUAGUUGAGACUCCAGAGGUGCACCACCACCACUGG